UACGAGUGCCUCAAGCGUUAUCCGGAAUCAUUGGGCGUAAAGGUUGUGUAGGUGGUCAUAUUAGUCUUCUGUUAAAUUCUUCGGCUUAACCGGGGGCAUGCAGAGGAAACGGUAUGACUUGAGGAUGCGAGGGGUCUGCGGAACUCAUAGUGUAGCGGUGAAAUGCGUUGAUAUUAUGGGGAACACCAAAAGCGAAGGCAGCAGACUGGAGCACUCCUGACACUGAAACAAGAAAGCGUGGGUCGCGAAUGGG
rnacentral:rRNA from 1 species